rnacentral:rRNA from 1 species
GACGAACCGUGCGAACGUUAUUCGGAAUCACUGGGCUUAAAGCGCGUGUAGGCGGCUUGGCAAGUCGGGUGUGAAAGCCCUGGGCUCAACCUAGGAAGUGCACUCGAAACUGCGGAGCUGGAGUCCUGGAGAGGAAGGCGGAAUUCUCGGUGUAGAGGUGAAAUUCGUAGAUAUCGAGAGGAACACCGGUGGCGAAGGCGGCCUUCUGGACAGUGACUGACGCUGAGACGCGAAAGCGUGGGGAGCAAACAGG